rnacentral:misc_RNA from 1 species
CAUUGGAUUACGGAUUCCGGACAUCCUGGUCACGCUUUUUAGAACAAGAUCGCACCAGUCAGGUGACGAUCGAAACACAUACGCUGUUGAGAUGNGNCUUCGGGUACACCGCAGUAAGGCGAAGUACCGCCGUCUACGUUUCUCUUUCUCAAGACAAGGACCACGCUGGUAUGCGUGUCGUUCCAACCCUUAUGGGCCCGUAGCUCAGUCGGUUAGAGCACACGCUUGAUAAGCGUGGGGUCGGUAGUUCNAGUCUACCCGGGCCCACCAUGUUUGAUCCUGGCGCCCUGUGGCGAUUUGGAUUGCUGGUGGCUUGCGGUUGGGUUCGUUGAUCCAGGUUCGCGGCCUUUUGGCUGAUCGGAUUGGGGCUGUAGCUCAGCUGGGAGAGCACCUGCUUUGCAAGCAGGGGGUCAGCGGUUCGAUCCCGCUCAGCUCCACCAUUCCGGCGCUUUGAACAAGCGCCUUUGGUGUUGAAGUUGGCGGAUUGAUUGCCUUGUCUUUUGAGAAAAUAAAGUUUGCAUCGGCCUUACNGGGUUGGAUGCCUGUUCUGAUUACAUUGUGAAGAGAAGAUAUGUCUGGAAGCUUCCAGGUGUUGAAGACGGUCGCGAGGCUGUUUUUGAUGUCCGAGCCCAGUCUCAUCGAAACCAUGGAUGAUCUAGCCGAUCGGACAUGGUGGAGGGACUGGAGGUAGGAAGGAAGCUUGUUACUCAAGGCAUGUUUGUUGUUGGUGAUUUGAACCAUCGGAACUUCGAGGCUUUUAAGGCUUCGGGGAUUUUGGUGUUUCCGGUCAUCUCUGACGGCAUUGUUGAUGGAUGUUGCCUGACCGCGCGUCCCCGGACAGAUCUCGAGAAGCUGGUCUUAAUGAUAUGACUUCGCAGUGCACCGGCGUGCCUGCAAUGAAGAUCAUAUCGAACACGUCGAUGGCAUCUGGAUUUGGUGUGACUGUAAAAGGUAGUCAUGCUGUUGGAUCUGGUCCUGCACACUCACAAGGUGUCCGGAUGGCCAGAUUUGGAACCCCUUCGAGCGCAAGCGAGAAGGAUAGGAAUUCCAAAUCCAACUAAGGAUGAGCAUUGGCAAUGAGAACGAUCAAGUGAAAUAAGGGCAAUUGGUGGAUGCCUUGGCAUGCACAGGCGAUGAAGGACGUGAUACGCUGCGAUAAGCCGUGGGGAGCUGCGAAUGAGC